rnacentral:rRNA from 1 species
GACGAACGCUGGCGGCGUGCCUAAUACAUGCAAGUAGAACGCACAGUUUAUACCGUAGCUUGCUACACCAUAGACUGUGAGUUGCGAACGGGUGAGUAACGCGUAGGUAACCUGCCUGGUAGCGGGGGAUAACUAUUGGAAACGAUAGCUAAUACCGCAUAAUAUUAAUUAUUGCAUGAUAAUUAAUUGAAAGGUGCAAUUGCACCACUACCAGAUGGACCUGCGUUGUAUUAGCUAGUAGGUGAGGUAACGGCUCACCUAGGCGACGAUACAUAGCCGACCGGAGAGGGUGAUCGGCCACACUGGGACUGAGACACGGCCCAGACUCCUACGGGAGGCAGCAGUAGGGAAUCUUCGGCAAUGGACGAAAGUCUGACCGAGCAACGCCGCGUGAGUGAAGAAGGUUUUCGGAUCGUAAAGCUCUGUUGUAAGAGAAGAACGGGUGUGAGAGUGGAAAGUUCACACUGUGACGGUAUCUUACCAGAAAGGGACGGCUAACUACGUG